rnacentral:rRNA from 1 species
UACGAAGGGGGCUAGCGUUGUUCGGAAUUACUGGGCGUAAAGCGCGCGCAGGCGGUUCUUCAAGUCAGAGGUGAAAGCCCAGAGCUCAACUCUGGAAUGGCCUUUGAGACUAGAGAACUAGGGUACGGGAGAGGUGAGUGGAAUUCCGAGUGUAGAGGUGAAAUCGUAGAUAUUCGGAAGAACACCAGUGGCGAAGGCGGCUCACUGGCCCGUUACCGACGCUCAGGCGCGACAGCGUGGGGGAGCAAACAGGG